rnacentral:rRNA from 1 species
CAGCCGCCGCGGUAAUACGGAGGGUGCAAGCGUUGUUCGGAUUUAUUGGGCGUAAAGCGCGUGUAGGCGGUUUCUUAAGUCUGAUGUGAAAGCCCUGGGCUCAACCCAGGAAGUGCAUUGGAUACUGGGAGACUUGAAUACGGGAGAGGGUAGUGGAAUUCCUAGUGUAGGAGUGAAAUCCGUAGAUAUUAGGAGGAACACCGGUGGCGAAGGCGGCUACCUGGACCGAUAUUGACGCUGAGACGCGAAAGCGUGGGGAGCAAACAGGAUUAGAUACCCUGGUAGUCCACGCCGUAAACGAUGAGAACUAGGUGUUGCGGGUAUUGACCCCUGCAGUGCCGCAGCUAACGCAUUAAGUUCUCCGCCUGGGAAGUACGGUCGCAAGACUAAAACUCAAAGGAAUUGACGGGG